UACCACCCUAAAUGCACCCUAUCUUGUCUGAUCUCGGAAGCUAAGCAGGGUCAGGCCUGGUUAGUACUUGGAUGCGAGGGUGAAUUCUUAACCUUUGUUGUUCUCCUGGGACACAGGUC
ensembl:rRNA 5S_rRNA 5S ribosomal RNA